rnacentral:rRNA from 1 species
GACGAACCGAGCGAACGUUGUUCGGAAUCACUGGGCUUAAAGGGCGCGUAGGCGGGCGGCCGCGUCCGGGGUGAAAUCCCACGGCUCAACCGUGGAACGGCCUCGGAUACGGGCGGCCUGGAGGCGGGUAGGGGCAGGCGGAACUGUGGGUGGAGCGGUGAAAUGCGUUGAGAUCCACAGGAACUCCGGUGGCGAAGGCGGCCUGCUGGACCCGAACUGACGCUGAGGCGCGAAAGCGUGGGGAGCAAACAGG